AGAUUAUGGCCGCAGACCCAAAUGAACCUUCCAACACAUUGUUGCCCGAGGAUGGAGAUCCUUUUCUCCCACACCAACGCUCUCAGUAAAUCAGCUCCCAUGAAUGAGAACACAAGGAACCUCUUUCUGCCCCGUUCGCCUGGUUUGACCCUCACUGUUGGGAGGUCACCAGUCUAUCUGUGGAGUUAGACGUGGAUGAUAAGGACCAACGGUGGCGGGAACUGGGGAGUCGAGGUGCUUUGUGAAGGAGACUGCAUUCUUUAGGAGGAUGAAGACAACCAGAGCAGGGCGGCAGGCUUUAAAAAAAAACAUAAUAUACCAUCACAUGACCUUUUUUACACAUACUAUAAUACUAUAUUACUUUUUGAAAUACGAUACCUCGAACUUGGUGUGACUUUUUGACAAAAAUAAACUUGUUUAGUAUUCGUGACAGACUACAAUGGCUUUUUACACCCGUUUAACGUAUACAAGGAUUAUAUUUGAUGAACUAUGAAUUCUUUAGGACUUAUUUUGACAUUAUAUUAUGGCUUUUAUUGACUAUUUGAAGACAUUAUUACUUUGCAAUGAUGUAAUUUGACAAUACUGUUUCAGGGUAAAAAAAAACAACAAAAAGCUAAUUUUCUAUGUUGGCAUAGAAAAUGUUGCCGUAAUGGAACCUGGAUGUGUGCAGCAGCACGUGACAGUUUGGAGCGACUGGAGAGUAUAAGGUAAACAAACUAUGACUUCAGGUUUUAUGCAUUCAGUUUUUAACAUCUUUGAGGAGCAGACUCUGAAACUGGCUGAAGCCGUUUCAGAGUCCACAAUCUAUAAAGCUGGUUUCUUCACAGUGUGAUUUGAAAGCAUGCAGUCUGGUCUGAACCCUGUGGAGUUUCUAACAGAGACAUUCAGUGUUCUUCACU